GAUGAACGCUAGCGGGAGGCCUAACACAUGCAAGCCGAGCGGUAGAGUUCCUUCGGGAACUUGAGAGCGGCGUACGGGUGCGUAACACGUGUGCAACCUACCUUUAUCUGGGGGAUAGCCUUUCGAAAGGAAGAUUAAUACCCCAUAAUAUAAUGAUUGGCAUCAAUUAUUAUUGAAAACUCCGGUGGAUAGAGAUGGGCACGCGCAAGAUUAGAUAGUUGGUGAGGUAACGGCUCACCAAGUCAAUGAUCUUUAGGGGUCCUGAGAGGGAGAUCCCCCACACUGGUACUGAGACACGGACCAGACUCCUACGGGAGGCAGCAGUGAGGAAUAUUGGACAAUGGGUGAAAGCCUGAUCCAGCCAUCCCGCGUGAAGGAUGACGGUCCUAUGGAUUGUAAACUUCUUUUGUACAGGGAUAAACCUACUCUCGUGAGGGUAGCUGAAGGUACUGUACGAAUAAGCACCGGCUAACUCUGUG
rnacentral:rRNA from 1 species